rnacentral:rRNA from 1 species
UACGUAGGGAGCAAGCGUUGUUCGGAUUUACUGGGCGUAAAGGGCGCGUAGGCGGCCUGUCAAGUCAAUUGUGAAAUCUCCGGGCUUAACCCGGAAAGGUCAACUGAUACUGUGUGACUAGAGUGCGGAAGGGGGCAACUGGAAUUCUUGGUGUAGCGGUGAAAUGCGUAGAUAUCUGGAGGAACACCGGUGGCGAAGGCGGCAUCCUGGACCGGCAUUGACGCUGAGGCGCGAAAGCCAGGGGGAGCAAACGGG